rnacentral:rRNA from 1 species
UAGAGCGGGCUAAACCCGGGUGCCAGCCGCCGGGGCUUACCCCGUAGGGCCCAAGUUGACAGACAUCGGCGUUAAGCGUGCUUAAAAGUGUCAACAUAAAUUAGAAUUAAACUACAACCAAGUCGUGACACGCUUGUUUUUAGGAGACUCUGAAACGAAAGUUAUUCUAACCAAACCACUUGAAUCCACGACAGCUAGGAAACAAACUGGGAUUAGGUACCCCACUAUGCCUAGCCGUAAAAUAUUAACUUACAUCUUAAAUCGCCAGGGAAUUACGAGCCCAAGCUUAAAACCCAAAGGACUUGACGGUGUCCCACCCACCUAGAGGAGCCUGUUCUAUAAUCGAUUCUCCCCGAUACACCUCACCACUUCUAGCCUCUCAGCCUGUAUACCUCCGUCGUAAGCUUACCAUAUGAACGUUAACUAGUGAGCUAAAAGAUCUAUCAUCCACACGUCAGGUCAAGGUGCAGCUCACGGAGCGGAAAGUAAUGGGCUACAAUUUCUAUAUUAGAACACACGAAAGACCACAUGCAACAAAGUCAUGAAGGCGGAUUUAGUAGUAAAAAGAAAAUAGAGAGUUCUUUUUAACCAGGCGCUGGGACGCGUACACACCGCCCGUCACCCUCUUCAAAUGCCAGAUAAAAUGUCUAUAACACUUCAAAGCACCACAGAAGAGGUAAGUCGUAACACGGUAAGCGUACUGGAAAGUGCGCUUGGAUUA